UGGGGAAUUUUGGACAAUGGGGGAAACCCUGAUCCAGCCAUCCCGCGUGUGCGAUGAAGGCCUUCGGGUUGUAAAGCACUUUUGGCAGGAAAGAAACGUCAUGGGUUAAUACCCCGUGAAACUGACGGUACCUGCAGAAUAAGCACCGGCUAACUACGUGCCAGCAGCCGCGGUAAUACGUAGGGUGCAAGCGUUAAUCGGAAUUACUGGGCGUAAAGCGUGCGCAGGCGGUUCGGAAAGAAAGAUGCGAAAUCCCAGAGCUCAACUUUGGAACUGCAUUUUUAACUACCGGGCUAGAGUGUGUCAGAGGGAGGUGGAAUUCCGCGUGUAGCAGUGAAAUGCGUAGAUAUGCGGAGGAACACCGAUGGCGAAGGCAGCCUCCUGGGAUAACACUGACGCUCAUGCACGAAAGCGUGGGGAGCAAACAGG
rnacentral:rRNA from 1 species